AUUGAACGCUGGCGGCAGGCUUAACACAUGCAAGUCGAGCGGGGGAAGGUAGCUUGCUACCGGACCUAGCGGCGGACGGGUGAGUAAUGCUUAGGAAUCUGCCUAUUAGUGGGGGACAACAUCUCGAAAGGGAUGCUAAUACCGCAUACGUCCUACGGGAGAAAGCAGGGGAUCUUCGGACCUUGCGCUAAUAGAUGAGCCUAAGUCGGAUUAGCUAGUUGGUGGGGUAAAGGCCUACCAAGGCGACGAUCUGUAGCGGGUCUGAGAGGAUGAUCCGCCACACUGGGACUGAGACACGGCCCAGACUCCUACGGGAGGCAGCAGUGGGGAAUAUUGGACAAUGGGGGGAACCCUGAUCCAGCCAUGCCGCGUGUGUGAAGAAGGCCUUAUGGUUGUAAAGCACGUUAAGCGAGGAGGAGGCUACUUUAGUUAAUACCUAGAGAUAGUGGACGUUACUCGCAGAAUAAGCACCGGCUAACUCUGUG
rnacentral:rRNA from 1 species